UGGAAGACAAUUGUUGAAUUCUAUAAAUAUAUGGCAAUUUCAUCAGUACAUGCUAUAUUUGUUUUACAGAAACUUAGGGUCACUGUAGGUAUUCUGUGUUUCUACAUCAAAGCUUCAAAAACAGUUCUGGGGUGUGGAGGUGCACACAGCUUCUACUACCAAGACACACACUCCGUAGCACUCCAGAUACAAAAUAAAACAAGAGGGUUUCUGCCAUUCCAGUUAAAGAGCAAUCUUAAAAGGCAUCCAAGAAAAGUUGGCUCUGUUUUCUGAAUUGCUAGUUGGGAGAACAAAAGCAGCAAGGGAAAGUUUGACUUGACUUCCUCUACAAUUUGUUUAUAUCAUCGGAGCAGAGAAUCUCCAGGCUGGGCUCUCCACUUCCUGAAUGAAGAGAGAGAGAGAAAAAAUGUCCGUGUGUCAAAUUCAUUGAGAUGUGCAAAGUGAUCAGCAAAAAUCCUGAUCGACUAGAGCCCAAAUGGCAAAGGAAGAAUGUUCCUCAAUUCAGCUGCUAUCUGGCAAGAGAGCUGCACAGUCAGUCCUGAUGGCGAGUGUCACCAAAUACCUCCUCCUCUGCCACAGAAAGGACAGGCGGUGAGGGUGCAGCCUCUACUGGCCUGUUGCUAUGGAGUCGGGCUAAUCUAAGAACAUGUUUCAGUCAAUCUAAUCCAAGGACAGAAGUGCUAGCAAUGGAAUAGCACUGAAAUUAUAAAUAUUUACUUGAAAAUAAUGCUCAAGCCAGACUUAACUGAAGUGAUAAGGUUCUGUUUACUUCUCUUGGUAGUAGCCAGCUGAAACAACCAAACCAGUUAAGCAACAUUUUUUUUUUUUUUGUCAGGUAUGUACUGAAUCACUGGCAGCAAACUUCUGGGAUUUUAGGAGAGAGGUUCUCUCUCUCUGUGCUCUGGGCAGAAUGCCUGUUUUUGUUUUGUUUAAGGAAAAAAACAACAACAACAGAACUUGAGGCUGGCUGAGCUUAUUAGAUUAUUGAUUAUCACUGUUAGUUUCCUGCUGCUUCUAUCGUUGGGGGUGGUAAGGGAGAUGAGGACAAGAAUUUAAAUGAUAAACACCCGGGCUUCUCUCUUCUUCAUGAAAUCUCCCGUGAGGUUUUCCAGCUUGCCUUCCCAUAACUUGAUUCUGUUGAGGUCUGAGAAUAUUGAAAUUGGGGGGUGAAAAGGGUUAAAAAUACAGCUUAGCGGUGAAUGCAUUCAGCUUUAGCACCUUACUGGAGGCUGUGAUUUCAUUGGCCUUGGAAUACCAGAGGGAAUUACAAAACAUUUAGAUAGAGAGAAGAGAUAGUGUGCAGAUAGAGUGCGGACAGAAUCGAGUGAUAAAGAGAAACAGGCUAAGGGUGGCUACUUUGCUCUGAAGGGUGGGUCGUUCUUGCUAAAGUCCGUUUCUUGGUGAAUUACGGUGGCAGCUCAGAGCUGGGGUAAGAGGAGAAAAUGCCAUCCAAUAAGGGUGGAGGCAGUCUGAAAGAUGAAUAAUAUAACAUGCAGUGAUUUCAAACUUCACGCUUUCUUACUGAAAGUUUUUCUUCCAGUUUGGAAGGCAAGUUUCAAUGGAUUCUCUUGUCUAAUCCCUGCUUCCUGCCAGGCUGCGCUGUUGGUGUUUUCAAGAAGAAACCUGGGCCAUGAUUUGAAUGCUUCAAACACUCAGUGCUCAAUUAGCCCUCUUUUGAAUCCUCUCUGACGGUUGGUUAAAUAUGGGUCGAAAGUGCUUUUUUAAAGUGGAACUGAUCUUGGGGCGAAGUAACUUAAUCUUCUGAGUGUUAAGACGCUGAAAUAUAAUGUUUUAACAGAACAAUUACUAGAAGACAUGGAAAUUGCAUUAUCCUAGGCUCGUGUGUCCAAUUCUAUUUCAUAGACAUGAACAUUUCAAAGUACAAAGGGCUGAUCUACAAAAAGGACACUUGGCUAUUCUUUAUAAAGAUUCCUCUUGUACUUUUAUAGAAUGUUUACAAGGUUAAUAAGUCUGCUUU